rnacentral:misc_RNA from 1 species
GAUGAAGAACGGAGCGAAAUGCGAUAAGUAAUGUGAAUUGCAGAAUUCAGUGAAUCAUCGAAUCUUUGAACGCACAUUGCGCCCGCCAGUAUUCUGGCGGGCAUGCCUGUUCGAGCGUCAUUACAACCCUCAGGCCCCCGGGCCUGGCGUUGGGGAUCGGCGGAAGCCCCCUGUGGGCACACGCCGUCCCUCAAAUACAGUGGCGGUCCCGCCGCAGCUUCCAUUGCGUAGUAGCUAACACCUCGCAACUGGAGAGCGGCGCGGCCAUGCCGUAAAACACCCAACUUCUGAAUGUUGACCUCGAAUCAGGUAGGAAUACCCGCUGAACUUAAGCAUAUCAAUAAGCGGAGGA